UGCGCCUGCCUGAGGCGGGCGGGGAAGGCACCACGCGGCGAGCCCAGGCGCCACCCCUCCCCCCCGCGCCCCAUGCGGGGAGGAAAAAGGACCCAGCGCUCUGCUGCCCUGCUUAAACAAGAUGAAACGGAGCUCAUCUUCCAGUGGUAGCAAUGGCCGGCCUGCUGCCCAUUAGAGUUCAGGACACAAGCAGAGCUGGUCCACAUACACCUGAAGCAACGACAAGUGGUUCUGGAGUGUCACGAAAGACUCCAUGGGGCUUUUUUGCUGGUACAGAAAAGUUAAAGGAUCCCAGGCCACUUCAUGACAAGGCUUACAUCCAGCAGUGCAUCCGACUGCUCUGCGAGAUCAGAUCUGUAUGCCAGUAAGCAGUGAUUUCCAGUCCUCGGUCUUAUCUUCCAUACUACUGAUACCACAUCUGCCCUUGGAAUGUCACCACAGCAAUUGUGAGGCAAAUGAAUGAUGGGGAGGAGUAACAUUCGCAGUGCGCCUGUUCUGUAUUGCCCUUGAUGUAAGCACAAAUCAGGAAAAGCCUCUUCCUGCUGCUCCAUCCACAAUGGGAGUUAAGCUGCCAUCCUGGAAUACCUGGAACUCAGCAGAAUCAUAAAAUCCUUGCAAGAGCUGUAUGCUAAGGAUUGGUCUACAAAUAAAACUUAUACUGGAGUAGCUAUGUCA